AUUGAACGCUGGCGGCACGCCUAACACAUGCAAGUCGAGCGGUAGCAUGAUCUGUAGCAAUACAGAUUGAUGACGAGCGGCGGACGGGUGAGGAACACGUAGGAACUUGCCCAAUAGAGGGGGAUAACUAAGGGAAACUUUAGCUAAUACCGCAUAUUCUCGAGAGAGGAAAGCUGCCCGCAAGGGUGGCGCUAUUGGAGAGGCCUGCGUCCGAUUAGCUAGUUGGUGAGGUAAAGGCUCACCAAGGGGAUGAUCGGUAACUGGUCUUAGAGGACGACCAGUCACACUGGGACUGAGACACGGCCCAGACUCUUACGGGAGGCAGCAGUGGGGAAUCUUGGACAAUGGGGGCAACCCUGAUCCAGCGAUGCCGCGUGAGUGAAGAAGGCCUUCGGGUCGUAAAGCUCUUUAGGUUGGGAGGAAGGUUAGUAUUUUAAGAGAUAACUAAUUUGACUGUACCGACAGAAUAAGCACCGGCAAACUCUGUGCCAGCAGCCGCAGUAACAC
rnacentral:rRNA from 1 species